CCUGAACUGGGACCAUCUUUCCAGCCGGAGUCCUCUUAUAACGAGCAUGUCCACAAAACUUACAAUCUUCUAAUUCACUAUCAGUCUUGUAAAACAACAUGCAGCCAUUAACACAACAAUGAAUUCUAUCAUAUGUCAAUCCUAACUUGGACACCAAACGCUUUGCCUGAUAGAAGUUCUUUGGUAUGUUAAACUCCGGAUUAACUAGUUCACCCAAAAGAUCAACCAUUGAGUCCAUAGCAACAUUAGGAACAUUCCAAUCUGAUUUAAUA
rnacentral:lncRNA from 1 species